AGAGUUUGAUCCUGGCUCAGAUUGAACGCUGGCGGCAGGCUUUACACAUGCAAGUCGAACGGUAACAGGGUGCUUGCACCGCUGACGAGUGGCGAACGGGAGAGUAAUAUAUCGGAACAUACCGCUAGGUGGGGGAUAACGCUUCGAAAGGGGUGCUAAUACCGCAUAAUACAUGGGUGUUAAAGGGGGGGAUCUUCGGACCUCUCGCCAAGCGAAUGGCCGAUAUCUGAUUAGCUAGUUGGUGAGGUAAAGGCUCACCAAGGCGACGAUCAGUAGCGGGUCUGAGAGGACGGCCCGCCUCACUGGAACUGAGACACGGUCCAGACUCCUACGGGAGGCAGCAGUGGGGAAUUUUGGACAAUGGGGGCAACCCUGAUCCAGCCAUGCCGCGUGUCUGAAGAAGGCCUUCGGGUUGUAAAGGACUUUUGUUGGGGAGCAAAGGGUGUUAGCUAAUAACUGACGCAGAUGAGAGUACCCAAAGAAUAAGCACCGGCUAACUACGUGCCAGCAGCCGCGGUAAUACGUAGGGUGCGAGCGUUAAUCGGAAUUACUGGGCGUAAAGGGUGUGCAGGCGGUUUAGAAAGCUUGAUGUGAAAUCCCCGAGCUUAACUUGGGAAUGGCAUUGAGAACUACUAGACUAGAGUACGUCAGAGGGGGGUGGAAUUCCACGUGUAGCAGUGAAAUGCGUAGAUAUGUGGAGGAACAUCGAUGGCGAAGGCAGCCCCCUGGGAUGAUACUGACGCUCAUACACGAAAGCGUGGGUAGCAAACAGGAUUAGAUACCCUGGUAGUCCACGCCCUAACGAUGUCAACUAGCUGUUGGGGGUUGAAAUCCUUGGUAGCGUAGCUAACGCGAGAAGUUGACCGCCUGGGGAGUACGGUCGCAAGAUUAAAACUCAAAGGAAUUGACGGGGACCCGCACAAGCGGUGGAUGAUGUGGAUUAAUUCGAUGCAACGCGAAAAACCUUACCUGCUCUUGACAUGUCGAGAGGGAUUUAGAGAUAGAUCUGUGCCUUCGGGAACUCGAACACAGGUGCUGCAUGGCUGUCGUCAGCUCGUGUCGUGAGAUGUUGGGUUAAGUCCCGCAACGAGCGCAACCCUUGCCAUUAGUUGCCAUCAUUAAGUUGGGCACUUUAAUGGGACUGCCGGUGACAAACCGGAGGAAGGUGGGGAUGACGUCAAGUCCUCAUGGCCUUUAUGAGCAGGGCUUCACACGUCAUACAAUGGUUGGUACAGAGGGUUGCUAAGCCGCGAGGUGGUGCUAAUCUCAGAAAGCCAAUCGUAGUCCGGAUUGCACUCUGCAACUCGAGUGCAUGAAGUCGGAAUCGCUAGUAAUCGCGGAUCAGCAUGCUGCGGUGAAUACGUUCCCGGGUCUUGUACACACCGCCCGUCACACCAUGGGAGCGGGGGGUACCAAGUAGGUAGGCUAACCGUAAGGAGGCCGCUUACCACGGUGUGCUUCGUGACUGGGGUGAAGUCGUAACAAGGUA
rnacentral:rRNA from 1 species